UUUUGAUUGUAUAUUAGGCCAGAUUGCAACAUUAAAAGUAUUGAGGUAAAUUUGUGAGGCAAUUUGAUUAGAUGGGAAGUUUGAGGCAUAUUGUGAAAAACACAGUAAACUAGAGGACCAAAAUUGCAAAAAGGUGAUACUCCUCCAUUGAUAUUGCAGAUCGCACUUUUUGCCAGUCUCGUUGACGACAACGGAGUUGAUGAACAAAACACAAAAUUCAAUUCAUCUUCAUUGUGCAUGUGUAUGAUAAACGAUAAUAGCGUACAUGUGUACGGAAAAUAUGGUGGUGUACAUGUGUAGGAGAAAUAUGAUAGUGUACAUAUUUAAAACAACCAUAAAGUAAUCAAGUUAAGACCUACCAUGAAGCUAGCAUGAAAACACACACACUAAUCAACAGUUCUUAAACAAGGUGUGAAGGAUGAUAUUUGGGUUCAGUCAGAUUUCAAGGAUGACUCGACCCUGCGUGUACAUGAGAAGAAAGGAAAAAGUUCACAUGUAUAUUGUGUUAGCAUUAUGUGAGUUUAUGAAGUCGCAUAAGCUUAGUUAUUUAGAUAGAAAACCUACAAAAA
rnacentral:lncRNA from 1 species